UGAGCCAUGGACAAAUUAAUGUAAAAGUGGGUGGACUACAGAGUCACGGAACAACAGAAGGGAUGCUAUUGAGGAAUGAUGCUUUAGGAUCAAACAACAAUGGGAAUCAAGAUCACUUGAGGUCUCUUGAUAGCUGUAAGUUAAACUACUCAGCUCCUUCGUCGGAUUUUCACCAUGAAAAAAGUUUGGAGAAUGUUCCUCUAAGAGGUGAAGGUACCGUCGAUUCAUGGAUUUGUCCUUCAGAGUAGGAGAUUAAUGAGAUCAAAUGGCUAGCUUCAGGGAGUACAAAAGAGAAAGUAGACUAUUGAUCAGGAAGGUUUUGC
rnacentral:misc_RNA from 1 species